UCCCAAAGACGAGUGGGUUUGUAGGUUAAUUGGCCCCUGUAAAUUGCACUCGGUGUGUAGGCAGUGGUUGAGAAUGUGGGUUACAAUAGAAUUAGUAUUAAUGGAUGAUUGAUGGGCUGUGUGGAGCUGGUGUGCCGGAGGCUCUGUUUCUACACUGUCUAGAGUAAACUAAGCAUUCUCAUAUUGACCUUCGGCUCUUGGCUUCCUGCACAGUUCUAAUGAAGCUCAAUGUAAGCUUGGGAAACAGCACGUUUUUUUAUUUAGGCACAUUGCAAUUUUCCCGACUCAAUAAUGAAUUCAACAAUAUCAGAUACUCAGCUCAUCCAGCCUAGCAUUUCACAUUUUCAAAUACAGUUAAUUUCUAUCUCGUAAAUUCAGAUUUCAAUAUUUUUUCACCUUCCCCAAACAUACCUUUUGUAAUUCUAUCUAUGCAUAUGCCAGAUGAAGGCCUGCACUGUUCGGAGCUUAUUUGAGUAAGUUCGGAGCUUAUUUGACAAUAACCUUUCAAUCAAGUCUCUUUUCAAUCUUUUGAACUCCUCUCGAUGCAAGCACAACCUAUCCAACCUUUUUCCACGGCUUUAGUCUGACAACCAGCACCAUCAUCACUUGUUAUUCAGUUUCAUCUGGUUGGCAUCCUUUGUGAACCGUUUUUUCCUGUUCUCUGCUUUCUUUCCUCCCACUUCUUUCUCUGAGACUUCAACCAUUUAAAAAAAAAUCUCUGCAUUUUCCAGUUCUGCUGAUAGGUUUUUGACCCAAAACAUUGAUUCUCUUGCUAGCUGCAUAGAUCCCUGCCUGACCUAGAAAGUAUUUCUCUAUUGUAUUGCAACAUCACCAAUGCUGGUGCUACAGGUCUGUAGUGGUAUUAUUUAACCAGGUUUUGACCAUUCAAUGGGAAAUUUAUGAAGUACAGAAUCACGUUGAUCUUUGCUGUGUUCCAUUUUCCCUAUUAUUGUUUGAUGACACUUAAGAUUAAUUGUGACUAUAACAUGCUACCUGGCAACAGCUUCUGUUUAGAGGGACCUGUAUGCAUCUCCAAGGAAGUUGUAUUUGAAAUAGUACUUCAAGCAUAUGUGGUCCACUUUGUAGGAGGAACAUUCCAGAAAUCUUGUUUGUUGAAGUGAGAAAUAUUAACUUAAUUACAAUGACCCAUUUUUAUGAUCCUUUUCAUACAUCAGUUGGCCUGAAUAAGCUGCAAUCCUUAAUGAGAUAAAGUGACUUGUGUUGUUUGAAUUUUUAAUUGUUAGAAUUUUGAAUCAUAACAAGCACAGAGUUUACUCUAGUUUAUUUACUAGAUUACAUGCUUGCGAUCUAUAUUUGUAUAGUCUGACACCGAAUGUUUGCACUCUUUAUUUUUGCACAGGUAAUUCUUCUAAUAAAUUGUUACCACGAA